GGAUGUGAGGGUGAUCUGGCUGCGACAUCUGUCACCCCAUUGAUCGCCAGGGUUGAUCCAGCUGAUCUGGCUGGCUAGGCGGUGUCCCCUUCCUCCCUCACCGCUCCAUGUGCAUCCCUCCUGAAGCUGCGCGCUCUGGUCGAAGAGGACAGCCUUCCCCAAUAGAGAUGGACCGGUCUUCGGUCGAGGGUAUACGAGUAGCUGCGCUCCCCCGCUAGAACAAUUCUAACAACAAGCUCUCAAAUAUAUAGAGGAAGAUAGAAUAUCUAGUUGGUAAAAUCAGCUAAUACAUAUUUCUUUAUGUGAAUCUUUAUAUU
rnacentral:snRNA from 1 species